rnacentral:rRNA from 1 species
AUACGGAGGGUGCGAGCGUUAAUCGGAAUUACUGGGCGUAAAGCGCGCGUAGGCGGUUUGGUCAGUCGGAUGUGAAAGCCCCAGGCUCAACCUGGGAAUGGCAUUCGAUACUGCCUGACUAGAGUAUGGUAGAGGGAAGUGGAAUUUCCGGUGUAGCGGUGAAAUGCGUAGAUAUCGGAAGGAACACCAGUGGCGAAGGCGGCUUACUGGAUCAAUACUGACGCUGAGGUGCGAAAGCGUGGGGAGCAAACAGGAUUAGAAACCCCAGUAGUCC